rnacentral:rRNA from 1 species
UACAGAGGGUGCGAGCGUUAAUCGGAAUUACUGGGCGUAAAGCGCACGUAGGCGGCUUGGUAUGUCGGGUGUGAAAUCCCCGGGCUUAACCUGGGAACUGCAUUUGUGACUGCACAGCUAGAGUGCGGCAGAGGGGGAUGGAAUUCCGCGUGUAGCAGUGAAAUGCGUAGAUAUGCGGAGGAACACCGAUGGCGAAGGCAAUCCCCUGGGCCUGCACUGACGCUCAUGCACGAAAGCGUGGGGAGCAAACAGG